AGAGUUUGAUCCUGGCUCAGAUUGAACGCUGGCGGCAGGCCUAACACAUGCAAGUCGAGCGGCAGCGGGAAAGUAGCUUGCUACUUUUGCCGGCGAGCGGCGGACGGGUGAGUAAUGCCUGGGAAAUUGCCCAGUCGAGGGGGAUAACAGUUGGAAACGACUGCUAAUACCGCAUACGCCCUACGGGGGAAAGCAGGGGACCUUCGGGCCUUGCGCGAUUGGAUAUGCCCAGGUGGGAUUAGCUAGUUGGUGAGGUAAUGGCUCACCAAGGCGACGAUCCCUAGCUGGUCUGAGAGGAUGAUCA
rnacentral:rRNA from 1 species